UACGGAGGGUGCAAGCGUUAUCCGGAUUCACUGGGUUUAAAGGGUGCGUAGGUGGGUCUGUAAGUCAGUGGUGAAAUCCCCGAGCUUAACUUGGGAACUGCCAUUGAUACUAUAGAUCUUGAAUACUGUGGAGGUCAGCGGAAUAUGUCAUGUAGCGGUGAAAUGCUUAGAUAUGUCAUAGCACACCAAUUGCGCUGGCAGCUGGCUUCUCAAAUAUUGACACUGAGGCCCGAAAGCGUGGGGAUCAAACAGG
rnacentral:rRNA from 1 species